UCCAGACUCCUACGGGAGGCAGCAGUGGGGAAUAUUGCACAAUGGGGGGAACCCUGAUGCAGCGACGCCGCGUGGGUGAAGGAGCACCUCGGUGCGUAAAGCCCUAUCGGCAGGGAAGAAAAGCGAACAGGUUCGCCUGGACGGUACCUGACUAAGAAGCCCCGGCUAACUACGUGCCAGCAGCCGCGGUAAUACGUAGGGGGCAAGCGUUAUCCGGAUUUACUGGGUGUAAAGGGGGCGCAGACGGCGAUGCAAGCCAGGAGUGAAAGCCCGGGGCCCAACCCCGGGACUGCUCUUGGAACUGCGUGGCUGGAGUGCAGGAGGGGCAGGCGGAAUUCCUGGUGUAGCGGUGAAAUGCGUAGAUAUUAGGAGGGACACCAGUGGCGAAGGCGGCUUACUGGACUGUAACUGACGUUGAGGCUCGAAAGCGUGGGGAGCAAACAGGAUUAGAUACCCGAGUA
rnacentral:rRNA from 1 species